UCUGUCGCUUUAAGAGCGAUAUGUUUACUGAUGACAUCAGUAUCUUAGCAACAACAUUAGGAAGUCAAAUCAGAGAAGUUCAUGUGAGAAAAUAAUCUGCUGACACAUCAAACUUAAUCCUUCACAUUCCUUGUCUUUGGAUGUACUGUCGGUAGGUUAUGAUGUUAAAGGAAGUUUUAUGUUGUAUUUUUUAUGAAUAUUUGUUUAAUUUGCGUAGAUGGGACAUCAUAUUUUUACGAGCUGAUAUUACAUGUGUUACACUGAUUCUUGAUGUAGGCCCCAGGACGAGGUAAUCCGUUGUCAGAUGUUAAAAAUACUUCCAUGUUGAUAAAGAAUAUAUGUAUUGCUGUUAAAAAGAAAUAAGAGUUAAUGGACUUUAAAACUGUUAUUGGAUUUCAUAUGUAUUUUGUUACAGAAGAAUACAAUCCAUGUUUGUAUCUUUGUAGUUUUACCCAACUUCACUCAUCAUUAAACGAAGUUCAAGAAAUCUUCAGCGUGGUGAUUGGAGGAGGAGUUAUCUGUCUGCCAGCUUAUGCAGGGCGUGUAAGGGUGGCAGAAUAGUAAAACGACAGCACCCUGGCGGGCUUGGAUUCAGAAAAGGUCAGUGACGUCACAGCAGAACAGUCAGAAGGAGGCUCACUUCGGAGCAUAGACGCAGCGAUCAGGCUACAGCCACAUUAUGGAAAGGCAGAAGCAGCAAUCGCCAAACUCUUUUGCUACAUGGCGCGGCAUGUCGACCGCAUCUAGUAGGCGCUCCCGUAGCUCCGCUGCUAGCUCAGCGGCUGCAAUAGCCUACGCCGAAGCCGAAGAGGCAAAAGCCAGAAUCAAAUAUGCAGAAAAAGAGAUGCAAAUCAAAAUGCAAAAAGCAAAAUUGGAUGCCGAAAAGGUAUAUCUUGAAGCACAGCUUGAAGUUUUAAGUGCCGAAAAAGCAGCCGCAGCCGCAGCUGCCAAGGCAGAAGCAUUAGCUACAGCCCUCACAUGUGAAAAUGGAUCUAACAGCGAAUUGGAUGUAAAACACACCCCACACGACAGUCUUCAGCGAACGAGUGAAUAUGUUCGAGAGCAAGCAGGCUUAUGGGCAGACAUUCAUGCAGAUCCAGCCACAGGGACUGAGAACCCAUGCCUACCACCAGUGCCAUCAGAGUUGCAUGGUAUAGAUAUGGAUAGAGACCUUUCCCUAAGCAGGUCACACUCGCCCCCCUCUGGGGCCAAUGCACGCCCCACCAAGCCAUUUUCGGAGCAGCCCUCCGAUGGCGACACACAUCAUAAUAAGCCAUACUCAGGGCUCCUCUCCGAUGCUGAUACAUAUGUUCCCAUUCGUCACGCUGUCAACGCAGACAAAUACGUUACUCACACUACUGCAAACACCUGCAAGCCUUCAGCUAUCACAGAACAUCCAGGCCAAAGACAACAAAGGCAUGAGGCUUAUUUCGGCCAUGUCAAGCCACCUGACAAAGACAUUUACUUACCUGCCCCAAGGCCAGUCAGACAUUCUGGCACGACACAGCCACAGGCUCCAGUGCGACCACCGCAACUUCUCACUAAUGUUGAGUCACAAGCACUUCCAUCAGCCACACAACCCCAGCUUCCUGCUUUUAACCCGGCUCCAGCUGAUUAUGGAAACAUUAACAGCCCCUCUCAGUCACACACAGACAACAAUAACAACAUGUCUGAUUUUGUCAAAUUUAUGGCACGCAGAGAAAUCAUUGCAACGGGCUUAUUGCAGUUUGACGACAGGCCAGAAAAUUAUAGGGCCUGGAAGGCAUCAUUCUUAAACACCACAACCAGCCUCAACCUCUCAGCCAAGGAGGAGAUGGAUCUCCUAGUCAAAUGGCUAGGCAAGGAAUCGGGUGAACAGGCGAAACGCAUAAGAGGUGUACAUGCCUAUAACCCUGCGAGAGGCCUAGAUAUGAUUUGGCAGAGGCUUGACGAGUGCUUUGGAGCACCUGAAGUCAUUGAAAGUGCGCUUCUAAAAAAAGUGGACAGCUUUCCAAAGAUCUCCAACAGAGACUGGAAAAAACUGAGAGAGUUAGGCGACCUGUUAAUGGAGCUCCAAGCGGCCAAAUUAGAAGGAGUGCUCUCGGGACUAGCCUGCCUGGAUACAGCUCGGGGAAUAGCUAACAUUGUCCACAAACUGCCCUUUACAAUGCAAGAGAGGUGGAUGGUGCUAGGCUACACGUUUAAAAAGCAGCAUGGGGUCUCUUUUCCCCCCUUCUCUGUCCUUGUGGACUUUAUAUCUGAACAGGCGAAGAUGCGCAAUGACCCCAGCUUUUCGCUUCCUCACUAUGCUGACCAUGCAAAAUCAGAUCACCUCAAAAACACAAACAGAAUGUCAGUUGCAGUCCACAAAACAGAUGUCUCCCCACAAAAGACAGACACAACCAGAGCUCACAUUGACCCAGCAAAGCAUUGCCCAAUCCAUAAGAAGCCACACCCCAUACACAAGUGUCGUAGCUUUCGAGAUAAGUCUCUAGAAGACAGAAAGGCCCUUCUAAAGCUGAACGGUAUUUGUUUCAAAUGCUUAGCAUCCACCACACAUCUAGCCAGGGACUGUGACAAAGAGAUAAAAUGCAUUGAAUGUGGCAGCGAGAGACACCACUCUGCAUUACACCCAGGACCUACACCUGAGUUCUCAAAGGCCCUCACCCCUGCUGACGCCCAUGGCGGGGAGGGAAGUGACUCUAACAAAGAAGACCUGUCGGCCCUCUGCACUGAAGUUUGUGGAACCCAACUCAGCGGUAAAAGUUGUUCUAAGAUUUGCCUGGUGAAAGUAUUCCCAUCCGGUCAACAAGAUAAAGCAGUCAAAGUCUAUGCUGUCAUCGAUGACCAGAGCAAUCGUUCGUUGGUGAAGCCAGAGUUCUUCGAUGUUUUCGACGUAUCUUGCCAAAGCUUACCUUACCGUCUGAAAACCUGUGCAGGCGUAGCAGAGGCAAGUGGGAGACGAGCGUGCGGCUUCCAAAUAAGCUCCAUGGAUGGACACGUCACUCUGCCCCUCCCAACCUUGAUAGAGUGCAAUAACAUCCCCGACAACCGCUCAGAGAUCCCCACACCACAAGCUGCUCAUCACCACUCUCACCUAAGGCCUAUAGCGGGACAAAUCCCAGAGCUCGAUCAUGAUGCCCAAAUAAUGAUGCUUCUCGGCAGAGACAUAAUAAGAGUACAUAAAGUGAGAAGACAAAUAAAUGGAUCGCAUGACGCCCCCUACGCUCAGAAGCUAGACCUCGGCUGGGUCCUAGUGGGUAACGUCUGCCUGGGAAGAGUCCAUAAACCACCAAGUGUCAACGUCUUCUUCACAAACACUCUGGACAAUGGCAGGCAAUCACUCUUUGAACCAUGCCCCAACACGCUCCUUGUUAAAGAGAGCGUCUGUAACACAAGCCCUCCGAAUGCACCCACUCGUGUCCCAGAAAAGAAAGUGUCACAAGACAUGAGUAGACCACACCUCGGAGAUGACAUUUUUCAGAGAACAGACCAUGAUGAGAAGUUAGCUCAUUCCUUUGAAGACACGACUUUCCUCCACAUCAUGAAAGAAGGUGUUUACAAAGACGAAGAAAGCAGCUGGGUGGCUCCCCUCCCCUUCAAGCCACAGAGAAGGCACCUACCCAAUAACAAAGGACAGACCUUGAACCGUUUUAAGUCAUUAGAAAAGUCCUUCUCCAGAAAACCUGAUAUGAAAGACCACUUUUUUGGCUUCAUGGAGAAGAUACUGGAGCAAGGUCAUGCGGAAGUGGCCCCUCCUCUUAAGGAACAUGAGGAGUGUUGGUACUUACCUCUUUUCGGGGUUUACCACCCAAAGAAGCCGGGCCAGAUCAGGGUGGUCUUUGAUUCAAGCUGUCAACAUGAUGGGGUCUCUCUCAAUGACGUGCUCCUGACCGGCCCUGACCUCAACAAUAGUCUCCUUGGAGUACUUAUCCGCUUUAGGAGAGAGGCGAUAGCCAUCACCACAGACAUACAGCAGAUGUUUCACUGCUUCGUCGUCAGACCACAAGACAGGAACUUCCUCCGCUUCUUCUGGUAUCGAGACAAUGACGAAAGCAAGGGAGUCAUCGAGUUCAGGAUGAAGGUCCAUGUCUUCGGCAAUAGCCCCUCCCCCUCUGUAGCAAUCUAUGGCCUCAGACAAGCAGCUAAGGAAGGAGAAGCUGAGUACGGUGAAGACGCUCGUGAAUUUGUGGAGAGAGACUUUUACGUAGACGAUGGUCUAAAAUCGUUGCCCUCAGCUGCAGUCGCCGUUGACCUCCUUAAAAGAACGCAGGAGAUGCUGGCCUGCUCAAAUCUACGGCUUCACAAGAUCACCUCGAACAGUGAGGAAGUCAUGAAAGCCUUCCCUACAGAAGACCACGCUAGUGGGCUAAGAGACUUGAACCUAGGUCAGGACACAUUGCCAGUUCAACGCACGCUUGGCAUUACCUGGGACCUCAAGAGCGACACGUUCACCUUCCAGGUUUCGGGUGAUAAAAAACCAUUCACUCGCCGUGGAGUGUUGUCCACCAUAAAUGGUUUGUACGACCCACUUGGAUUUGCUGCCCCAGUUGUCAUUCGAGGCAAGGCUUUGCUUAGAGACCUUACAGCAGACACCCGAGACUGGGACGCGCCCUUACCUAGCGACAAACAGGUGCUGUGGGACCAGUGGAGAGAUUCUUUGCAAGGGCUUCAAGCUCUGAAAAUCCCAAGGCCUUAUACCCAGACCUCCCCCUCUGCAGCCUUACACCGAGAACUCUGUGUUUUCUCAGACGCGUCCAUCUUAGCUAUAGGGGCAGUAGCCUAUCUAAGAGUUACGGACCAAGGUGGGGGCCUCCACGUAGGCUUCAUUCUCGGCAAAGCUAAACUUGCCCCACGUCCAGAUUUAACUAUUCCCCGCCUCGAGCUUUGCGCUGCCGUCUUAGCUGUGGACAUAGCAGAGACCAUCAAGGCAGAGAUGGACAUCCCUGUUGAUAAGGUGACCUUCUUCACAGACAGUAAAAUUGUCCUCGGAUACAUCAACAAUGAAAAACGUAGGUUCUAUGUGUUUGUGAACAACAGAGUCCAGAGAAUCAGAAGAAGUUCAGAGCCUCAACAAUGGCGUUACGUGGCUAGCAACCAGAACCCAGCCGACCUAGCAACAAGGUCUGUGCCUGCCGCUCGCCUCAAAGACACCACGUGGCUCACAGGGCCCUCAUUCUUAACACGCUCAGAGCAGUCAACUUACAGUGCAGACAACUUCGACCUAGUGAACCCAGAUGAGGAUGCAGAUGUGCGCCCCGAAGUUACUGCACUCAGCACCACUGCCGAGGAGCACCACCUCGACACACAGCGCUUUGAGCACUUUUCCACCUUAAAGGCCCUGUUUCGAAGUGUGGCGAGCCUCAUACACAUUGUUAGCUCAUUCAAAAGAGACCCACUCAAAGAGCCAGGGGACUGUAAAGGCUGGCACUAUUGCGCUGAAUCCCAUAACACAGACAACCUCUCAAAGGCCAAGAAUGUUAUCAUCAAAGCUGUACAGGAAGAGGCCUAUCAAGAAGAACUUCAGUGCAUCAGAAACAAGAAAAACCUUCCAAAAGACAGCCCUUUACUUACCUUGAAUCCUGUGAUGGGAGAAGACGGGAUCUUGAGAGUUGGAGGCCGCAUUUCCCAGGCAAACAUCAGUCCGGGAGAAAAGAAUCCCAUCAUAAUCCCUGGGAGACACCACCUGGCCGUCCUUAUCGUGAGACAUUAUCAUGAACAGUGUCAACAUCAAGGACGUCAUCUGACUGAAGGUGCUGUGCGUGUAGCGGGCUACUGGAUUGUAGGAGCCAAAAGAUGUGUGAGCUCGCUCAUCUUCAAGUGUGUGACAUGUAGGAGGCUCAGAGGAAAAUGUGAAGUGCAGAAAAUGGCGGACUUGCCUUCAGACAGAGUCAGUAUGGAGCCACCCUUUACAUAUGUGGGGGUUGAUGUGUUUGGCCCCUGGACUGUCUCUACCCGACGCACUAGAGGUGGCCAUGCCAACGACAAGAGGUGGGCAGUACUAUUCACCUGCCUAAGCGUUAGAGCGAUCCACAUAGAAAUAAUAGAAAGCAUGGACACCUCCUCUUUCAUAAACGCUGUGAGACGCUUCAUUGCCAUUCGUGGCCCAGUGAAACAGAUGCGUUCCGAUCGCGGAACAAACUUUGUUGGAGCAUGCAAAGAACUGAACAUCUCCUCCAACUUGGAUGAGAGCAAAGUAUCCCAGUUUCUCGCAGACCAAGGAUGCAAGUGGACCUUUAAUCCACCCCACGCCUCACACAUGGGCGGAGCAUGGGAACGGAUGAUAGGAGUCACCCGCAGCAUCUUGGACUCUAUGAUGCUUCAAAUAGGCCCCUCCAGAAUAACCCAUGAAGUUCUUGCUACGUUCAUGGCUGAGGCCUCUGCCAUUGUGAACUCAAGGCCCCUAAUACCCGUCUCCACUGAUCCGGAUGACCCCUCAGUUCUGGCACCCACCUCGCUGCUGACGCAGAAGCUCGGUCCGACCCCUGUCCCUUCAGGUGAAUUUCGGGGCAAAGACCUCUUCAGACGUCAAUGGAAGCAGGUGCAGAGUUUAGCGAGCACCUUCUGGGACAGAUGGCGGAAACAAUACCUGUCUACCCUCCAGCCGAGGAGGAAGUGGCAGGCCGACAAGCAGAACAUCACAGUGGGGACUGUGGUCCUCAUGAAAGACUGUCAAUCCAAGCGAAAUGACUGGCCACUUGCACGCAUCACCAAGGUGUUUCCAAGUGAAGACGGAAGGGUCCGCAAGGUGGAAGUGAAGGUCGCUGACAAAGAAGGGGUGAAACUGUUCCUACGCCCUAUAACCCAAGUCAUUACACUCCUUCCCUCUGAAUAGCUUCAGAACUGUGUUAUUUGUUAUGUUAACUGUUAUAUAGUGGUAUCCUAGGGACACCAGACGGGGAGUGUUCUGUCUCUCUAGCACUGUAACGUGUUCUGUCGCUUUAAGAGCGAUAUGUUUACUGAUGACAUCAGUAUCUUAGCAACAACAUUAGGAAGUCAAAUCAGAGAAGUUCAUGUGAGAAAAUAAUCUGCUGACACAUCAAACUUAAUCCUUCACAUUCCUUGUCUUUGGAUGUACUGUCGUUUUACCCAACUUCACUCAUCAUUAAACGAAGUUCAAGAAAUCUUCAGCGUGGUGAUUGGAGGAGGAGUUAUCUGUCUGCCAGCUUAUGCAGGGCGUGUAAGGGUGGCAGAAUACCAUGCAUUCAAACAUUCACACUCUCAUUCACAACUAAGUGCAAUUUAACAUAACCAAUCCAUCUACCCACACGUUUUUGGACAGUAGGAGGAAACUUGGAGAACCUGGAGGAAAUUCAUGCGAACAUGGGGAAGACCAGUGAAAAUCCACACAGACAGUAACCCGUGCUCAGUAUUGAACUCAGAACCCUGGAGGUGUGAAGUUGCA